CGUUCAUCUCUAGGAGACAGAACGCGUCUCCUUCCUGAGCGCUAUGAUGGCUGCAUGGUGUUUAUACUUGCAUACUAUUGUUUGUACAGAUGAACCUGAUAUCUUCAGGCAUUUGGAAAUUGCUCCCAAGGAUAAAUCAGACAUGUGGAGCUCUACAAUUUUUUUCUGAGGUCUUGGCUGAUUUCUUUUGAUUUUCCCAUGAUGUCAAGCAAAGGGGCACUGAGUUUGAAGUGGCAGAAAAUGUCGGCGCACCUUGGUCCAACUACCUACCAAGAUAGGUCAAAUUGAAGAAUUCAAUAAAUAACUUUUGUUUGAAUUUUUCCCUGACUUACAUACUUCUCUGUUUUGAGGCACUUGUGCAUAUGGCAAAGGCGCGCGUGAAUGCACAAAUGGAGGGGUGAGGUGAAGAGACUAAUUUGGGAAUCUGCAAGAAUCGAAUCGUUGACCUAGGUUCAAUGCUUGAUUUGGACAAAAAUAGGUGUCAGUACUGUUUAUAUUUAGGUGCAGGAACUCAAGUCAAUGUCCCAAUAGAUACUAAUAGUGACAAAACUCUGGCAUUACAACAUACUUACCAGGAGCAUGGCGUCCAUCUGAUUAAAUCUUCUCUCUGCCCUUUUAUGAACAGAUAUUUUUUUUUUAAGUAUUUGUAAUCACUUGCUUUGUGGUUUUGUGUAAUUCAACACCUUUUACUAAAUUCAGAAAUGUACUCAAUUGAUGAUGUUAUUGACUAUACUGACUGUACUUCCUUGAAAAUAACUAGGCGCAGGUCAAAGAGGUGAUAUAUUGUUACUGUUAACAGAAAAUUAAACAAUUUCCCGUUUAUUGUAUAACAUCAAUGUCACAACAGUUCUUUACUUCCCUGUUCUUCCCUUAGAUUCCGUUCUAACUAACUUCCCUAACUCUGGACUUCACCACUGUCUCCACUGUUCUUACACAGUUCCUAUCCUUGCCUUUGAAAUAUGAUGAGAAAAAAAAAUAUAUAAAAAAUAUAUUUCAGUCAUCAUUCAUUUUAUUUUUACACAUAAUAGAAUGGUAAUGUAUUUUAAUUGUUGCCUCAAACAUAGCAAUACAUGCUGUUGAUGACUUAGUCGACUUUCACUGUCAUUGCUGGUACAUUAAUAAACAACUAAGAUAACGUUCUGUACUAUA